rnacentral:rRNA from 1 species
AUUGAACGCUGGCGGCAGGCCUAACACAUGCAAGUCGAGCGGAUGAAGGGAGCUUGCUCCUGGAUUCAGCGGCGGACGGGUGAGUAAUGCCUAGGAAUCUGCCUGGCAGUGGGGGAUAACGUCCGGAAACGGGCGCUAAUACCGCAUACGUCCUGAGGGAGAAAGUGGGGGAUCUUCGGACCUCACGCUAUCAGAUGAGCCUAGGUCGGAUUAGCUAGUUGGUGGGGUAAAGGCCUACCAAGGCGACGAUCCGUAACUGCUCUGAGAGGAUGAUCAGUCACACUGGAACUGAGACACGGUCCAGACUCCUACGGGAGGCAGCAGUGGGGAAUAUUGGACAAAGGGCGAAAGCCUGAUCCAGCCAUGCCGCGUGUGUGAAGAAGGUCUUCGGAUUGUAAAGCACUUUAAGUUGGGAGGAAGGGCAGUGAGUUAAUACCUUGCUGUUUUGACGUUACCAACAGAAUAAGCACCGGCUAACUUCGUG